rnacentral:lncRNA from 1 species
UAUUGGCAUAAUGGGUUGUCUUUCUUAUUACCAAAGUGAUUUUAAUAUUAUUAUAAUAAGGAAAGAUUUAAACAAUUGAUGAAACCAUAUAACACAUUGCAAACAGGAAUGACUUUUGUAUUUUAGGGGUUUAUUUGUGUUUGCCUUUAUUAGUGUGUUAUAUGGAUACUAUAUUUCUCAAUUUUUUCUUCUAUAAUGUAACUUGUCACUGAUAACCACCUCUGCUGACAGCAAUGAGCAAUAAAGGGUGUGGAGAUUCAGAAUGAUUCAGCUUUGAUGACCUGAGAUAUUUCAAGUUCAUUCCUGUUUCUUUUUUUUUUUUUAUUGCUUGUUGGUUUUUUUCACCCAACACAAGCUACCUUAUUAUCUAUGCUAUGUAACUUUUUUUUCUUGAAACUAUCCCAGGCAAAAACUGAUAGUGAAAAAUUGUAAGUAACCUUAUAUUAUAGCCCACAAGAGGAAAAUUGGUAAGUAAAUUAUCAUGCUAUAUCCGUUAGGAUGUUUUCUACUGCACAGAACAGAAAACCCACCUCAAAGGGGCUUAAAUAAUAGGAGAUAUUUUCUCACAUAACAAGAAGUCUCCAAGUAGGGUUCAGGGAUGUGUAAUUAAUUGGAGUGUCACAAUCAACUAGGAUCAAUUCUUCCUACUUUUCUGUUCUUCCAUCUUUAGUGUGUAUACUGGACUUCCUUUAUGGCCACAAAAUGGCUGCAACAGCACCAAGCACUAGCUCCACUGCUCCCUCCUUACACACAUUCCAUAGGCAGAAAAAGGGAUUAUCUCUUCCUUGUAUCACUUUUAAGGAACUAAGAAUCUGUUUCACAAAUCUAACCUGUAGAUUUGCCCUUAUAUCUUAUUGGUCAGAAGUAUGUCACUUGUCCCUUCCUUGGCCAAUCACUGAUAAGGGGAAUAGAAUUGUACCAUGAUUGGCUUAAACUAAAUUAAAAAAUCACCUUUUAUGAGUGGAAAUGGAGUUAGCCUUUAAGCCUGAAGCCCUUGACCACCUGAAGAAACCUGAGUUCUGUUAGCAGGAAAGAAAGGAGAACUGGCUAUUGUUAAUACUAGGCAGAUGUUUAAAAUGAAGUUUCCAUUAAAUACCUUGUGUUAGGAGAUGUUGGUAUUAGACAGUAUUAUCUCAACUAUAUAAAAAGACAGAGACACUAUUAUCUCAAAUAUAUAAAACAAACAAAACCUUUAAAAAACUAAGCAGAAACAAAGACUAGCAGAAAAUAUACCAAAAUGUUAACAGCAGCUUCAUGAGUGACAAACUAAGGGUACACUUUUCUUCUCCUUUUUAAAUUUUUAAACUCUUCCACAAUGAGCACAUGUUACUUUUAUGAGCAUUCAGAGCUCCUUUUCCUAUCUUUUCUCUUCUCUAGGUUUCUUUAUCCUGGUUCCAUAUUUUCACUCUUUUUAGAGCUUCGACAAUUCUAACCCAGGGUUCCUCAUGUGUGAACAUUACAAUUACCCAAGAUGGCCUCAAAGAACAUUCAGGGAAAUCAUUUUCCAAACCAUAACUGUUCUAUUCAGAGCUUUGAAGACAGAUAUCAGGUCUUCAGAACCAAUGAAGAAGAAACCAUUACUUAUCAAAGAAGGUGAGGUACAAAGCUGAUGGGUCACAGGAUUGCUAGUCAGAACAGCUAGCACAUUUUUAAAUUUGUAAUCUUUAUUAUGUUUCAAGAAUAGCAAUGUCUUUGAAUGGAAGGAACUUCAGAAAUGUCUUU